ACACUUUCUAACACUGAUGGUGCUGAUUCUAAGUCUCUUUACCUCAAGAGGAAGUACUACUACAAAUAUCAGAGGUCUGAAAGGUUAUAUCCUUUCAAAAAGAGGAAACACUUUGCCUAUGCUUCACAAUCAAAUUCUGAAGGAGGGAUUAGUAAUGAGUUUAUUUGCAAUUCACCCCAAAAGGGUAAUGAUGGUGAUGCUUCUGCUUCCGGUAGAAAGAAGCAUGGAGUUAUUGGUGCCUCAUCUUCUGUUGCAGGUCAACACAAUUCAUUCCGACCUAGGGAUUCUCACGUGAAGCUUAGGAUAAAGUCUUUCAAGGUACCAGAGCUAUUUAUUGAGAUUCCAGAAAGUGCAACUGUUGGCUUAUUGAAGAGGACUGUUAUGGAGGCUGUGACUGCUAUCCUUGGAGGUGGUUUACGUGUUGGUGUACUUCUUCAGGGAAAGAAGGUUUGGGAUGACGAUAAAACUUUAGUGCAGACUGGAAUUUGUCAAAAUAAUCAAUUGGAUGCUUUGGGCUUUAGCCUAGAGCCCAAUUCUUCUCGAGCUCCCCCUUCUUUGUGUCCCGUAGAUUCUUCCUUUCUGAUUGACACAGCACAACCUGUAAGCAGGUAUCCACCUGCUCCAAG
rnacentral:misc_RNA from 1 species